UUGUGGACAAAUGAAGUGGAUGUGGCUGUCUAUACCACCUGCAGUUAAAAUGAGUCCUUCUCCAGCAAUGGCUUCCGUGUUAACCUGUGAAAAGUACAGCGUGAGCGCUUCUGUCAG
rnacentral:ncRNA from 1 species